UACGUAGGGUGCGAGCGUUGUCCGGAAUUACUGGGCGUAAAGAGCUCGUAGGUGGUUUGUCGCGUUGUUCGUGAAAACUCACAACUCAAUUGCGGGCGUGCGGGCGAUACGGGCAGACUGGAGUACUGCAGGGGAGACUGGAAUUCCUGGUGUAGCGGUGGAAUGCGCAGAUAUCAGGAGGAACACCGGUGGCGAAGGCGGGUCUCUGGGCAGUAACUGACGCUGAGGAGCGAAAGCGUGGGGAGCGAACAGG
rnacentral:rRNA from 1 species